AUUGAACGCUGGCGGCAGGCCUAACACAUGCAAGUCGAGCGGAUGAAGGGAGCUUGCUCCUGGAUUCAGCGGCGGACGGGUGAGUAAUGCCUAGGAAUCUGCCUGGUAGUGGGGGAUAACGUCCGGAAACGGGCGCUAAUACCGCAUACGUCCUGAGGGAGAAAGUGGGGGAUCUUCGGACCUCACGCUAUCAGAUGAGCCUAGGUCGGAUUAGCUAGUUGGUGGGGUAAAGGCCUACCAAGGCGACGAUCCGUAACUGGUCUGAGAGGAUGAUCAGUCACACUGGGACUGAGACACGGUCCAGACUCCCACGGGAGGCAGCAGUGGGGAAUAUUGGACAAUGGGCGAAAGCCUGAUCCAGCCAUGCCGCGUGUGUGAAGAAGGUCUUCGGAUUGUAAAGCACUUUAAGUUGGGAGGAAGGGCAGUAAGUUAAUACCUUGCUGUUUUGACGUUACCAACAGAAUAAGCACCGGCUAACUUCGUG
rnacentral:rRNA from 1 species